rnacentral:rRNA from 1 species
AACGAACGCUGGCGGCGUGCCUAACACAUGCAAGUCGAACGGAAACUCCGGGCUUUGUGGCGCUGGGGUGGGUACGGAGUGGGAAGUAACACUUGGGUUCGGAAUCCCUCACUGUGGGGGGUCCUCAUGACGGUUAGUGUAUUAGGGCAAAAGAUUUCUCGCCUUUGGGUGGGCGCGGGUUGGAUUCGGUGGUUGGUAGGGUAAAAGCAGACCAAGGGGACGAUGCAUAGCUGGUCGGUGAGGAUGAUCAGCAACACUGGGACUAAGACACGGCCCAGACUCCUACGGGAGGGAGCAGUGUGUAAUAUUGGACAAGGGGCGAAAGCCUGAUCCAGCAGUGCCGCGGGAGUGAUGAAGGCCUUAGGGUUGUAAAGCUCUUUGACCCGGGAUGAUAAUGACAGUACCGGGUGAAUAAGCUCCGGCUAACUCCGUG